UACGGGGGGGGCAAGCGUUGUUCGGAAUUACUGGGCGUAAAGGGGACGUAGGCGGCCAACUAAGUCCGACGUGAAAUCCCAAGGCUUAACCUUGGAACUGCGUCGGAUACUGGAUGGCUUGAAUUCGGGAGAGGGAUGCAGAAUUCCAGGUGUAGCGGUGAAAUGCGUAGAUAUCUGGAGGAAUACCGGUGGCGAAGGCGGCAUCCUGGACCGGCAUUGACGCUGAGGAGCGAAAGCCAGGGGAGCAAACGGG
rnacentral:rRNA from 1 species